UCCGAGGGGGUACCUGCGGAGGGAUCAUUACACAAUAAAAUAUGAAAGGCUGUACGCGGCUGUGCUCUCGGGCCAGUUUUGCGGAGGCUGAAUUAUUUAUUACCCUUGUCUUUUGCGCACUUGUUGUUUCCUGGGCGGGUUCGCCCGCCACCAGGACCACAUCAUAAACCUUUUUUAUGCAGUUGCAAUCAGCGUCAGUAUAACAAAUGUAAAUCAUUUACAACUUUCAACAACGGAUCUCUUGGUUCUGGCAUCGAUGAAGAACGCAGCGAAAUGCGAUACGUAGUGUGAAUUGCAGAAUUCAGUGAAUCAUCGAAUCUUUGAACGCACAUUGCGCCCUUUGGUAUUCCAAAGGGCAUGCCUGUUCGAGCGUCAUUUGUACCCUCAAGCUUUGCUUGGUGUUGGGCGUUUUUUGUCUUUGGUUGCCAAAGACUCGCCUUAAAAGGAUUGGCAGCCGGCCUACUGGUUUCGCAGCGCAGCACAUUUUUGCGCUUGCAAUCAGCAAAAGAGGACGGCAAUCCAUCAAGACUCCUUCUCACGUUUGACCUCGGAUCAGGUAGGGAUACCCGCUGAACUUAAGCAUAUCAAUAGGCCG
rnacentral:rRNA from 1 species